rnacentral:rRNA from 1 species
UACGUAGGGGGCGAGCGUUGUCCGGAUUUAUUGGGCGUAAAGAGCUCGUAGGCGGUUCGAUAAGUCGGACGUGAAAUCUCCACGCUCAACGUGGAGGGGCCGUUCGAUACUGUCGUGACUCGAGUCCGGUAGGGGAGUGUGGAAUUCCCGGUGUAGCGGUGAAAUGCGCAGAGAUCGGGAGGAACACCCGUAGCGAAGGCGGCACUCUGGGCCGGUACUGACGCUGAGGCGCGAAAGCUAGGGGAGCAAACGGG